AAUGAACGCUGGCGGUAUGCCUAACACAUGCCAGUCGAACGGCAGCACAGUAAGCUCUUGCUCUUACGGUUGGCGAGUGGCGGACGGGUGACGAAUACAUCGGAUACUACUUUUUCUUGGGGGAUAACGGAAGGAAACUUACGCUACUACCUCAUACGACCUACGGGUGAAAGCAGUGGAUCUUCGGACCUUUCGCGAUUGAAUGAGCUGAUGUCGCAUUAGCUAGUCGGCGUGGUAAAGUACCACCAAGGCGACGAUGCGUAGCUGAGCUGAGAGGAGGAUGGGCCACAGUGGAACUGAGACACGGUCCAGACUCCUACGGGAGGCAGCAGUAGGGAAUCUUGCGCAAUGGGCGAAAGCCUGACGGAGCAACGCGGCGUGAGUGAGGAAGGUCUUCGGAUCGUAAAACUCUGUUAUUAGGGAAGAACAAAUGUGUGAGUAACUAUGCACGUCUUGACGGUACCUAAUCAGAAAGCCACGGCUAACUACGUG
rnacentral:rRNA from 1 species